CAGUAGCCACGGUAAAACGGAGGAUCCAAGCGUUAUCCGGAAUCAUUGGGUUUAAAGGGUCCGUAGGCGGUCUUGUAAGUCAGUGGUGAAAGCCCAUCGCUCAACGGUGGAACGGCCAUUGAUACUGCAGGACUUGAAUUAUUGGGAAGUAACUAGAAUAUGUAGUGUAGCGGUGAAAUGCUUAGAGAUUACAUGGAAUACCAAUUGCGAAGGCAGGUUACUACCAAUUGAUUGACGCUGAUGGACGAAAGCGUGGGUAGCGAACAGGAUUAGAUACCCCAGUAGUCCCUGUCUCUUAUAC
rnacentral:rRNA from 1 species